GUCACUUCUCAGCCUUUUGGCUAAAAUCAGGUAGUAUCUGUUCUUAAUGGUUUAAUACGUGACUCGUCCUCUAUCCAAAGACAAUAUAUCACAUGGAUUUUUGGAAUUAGAAGAUGGAAUAGGAGCUUACUCUGCCCACUCCACACAUCGACCUGGUGUUGCAGUACCAUUACUUCAAUGCAGAGAAA
ensembl:snRNA U2 U2 spliceosomal RNA